AACUUAUUAAAUUGGUAGGAAAUUGAGAGCUACUUUAGGAAAAUAACAUCAUAAAUUAUAAAGUAGAGAAUGAAAUGCGUUUUCCUCUCUUCAAAUGCGAUUACUCUUUGAACGGCUGAGAUUGGCUCAAAUAUAACCAGAUCUACUUUACCCUUCUUCCCCAGCUAGCACUUCCAAUUCCCCAAAUCUCGUUUCUUCUCACAAAACCCUAUCUCUCCUUCUUCAACAGCGAGCUUCCCCAAUUCUUCAGCUUUUAAUUUCAGUGGUCACAACUACAAAACUAUCCCAAGAAUGAGGUCUAACCACGCCGCCAAGUUUCUCGGUAGAAUUUUGUCGAAUUCUUCAUCUAAAUUCUCCACUUUUGCCAUCACUUCUCCACAUUAUCAAUCAUUUCUUCUACCCAGUUUUCAUUUUGAUAAUGCCAGCUGCCAAAUGAGGAGACACUUCUCCGCCUAUCCCAGAUUCGAUUUUGAAUCUAUACGUGAACCCAAUGAUGCCGUCGCUCUAUUUCAGGAUAUGAUGAGAACGGAGCCGCUUCCUUCUGUUAAGCUUUUCUCGAGAUUGCUGAGUGCUGUGGUGAAGCUGAAACAAUACUCUGCUGCACUUCAUCUGUUCGAAAAAAUGCUUCAAAGGGAUGCUCCUGUAAAUCACUACACGUUGAGUAUUGCGAUUGAUUGCUAUUGCCGACUCAAAAGGCCUGAUUUUGGGUUUGCGAUCUUAGGCAGUUUUUUCAACCGUGGGUUCGAGCCUACCGUGGUGACCUUCAACACUCUCGUGAAAGGCCUUCUGUUUGUUGAAAGGAUCCCAGAGGCAGCUAAAUUGUUGGGGAAGCUGUCGGCCUACCAACUGUGCGAGCCCGACGAAUAUACGUAUAGUACUAUAAUUAAUGGGUUAUGCAAAGCUGGAGAUAUUCUCCAGGCGGUUGAUUUGCUCUGCUCAUUGGAAAAAGGAAAAGGGAGCUGCAAACCCGACGUCUAUGCUUACAGUGCAGUUAUUGACGGUCUAUGCAAGAACGGAAAGGUGGACGAAGCUCUCCAACUCUUCUCCACUUUGGGUGAUAAGGGGAUUUCACCCAACGUUGUGACAUAUUGUUCAAUAAUUGAAGGGUUGUGCAAGAUGAAAAGAAUGGACGAGGCUGAACACGUUUUGAAGAAGAUGAUUGCUGAUCUGGUCAGCCCAAAUGUGGUGACAUGUAAUAUCUUUGUGGAUGCUUGGUGCAGAGAUGGAAAGGUGGAAGAGGCCGAACAUAUGUUGGUAUCUAUGAAGGAGAUUGAUGUUCAACCCGACAUUGUCACUUAUACUGCAUUGAUGAAUGGAUAUUGUAUGCUAGGAAAACUGGACGAAGCUGAACGCAUUUUCCAAUUGGCACUGAGCUCUGGAAUGAAGCCCGAUAUCAUAAGCUACAAUAGCUUGAUGAACGGGUAUUGCAAAGAGGGGCGAGUCGAUGAAGUUUCACAUCUUUUUAACAUAAUUCGCACUCAAAGAUUAAAGCGCGAUGUGGUUUCUUAUAACAUAAUGCUAGAGGCCUUAUUUCGUGAAGGCAAAUGCGAAGAUGGCUUGAAGCUGUUCAAAGAAAUGGAAGCUCUACAACUGUUUCCGAAUAUAAGGACUUAUAGUAUCUUGUUGGAUGGUCUAUGCAGUGCUCAUCGAAUCAGUGAAGCAUUUUCUGUGUUGCAUAGCAUGGAAGAUAAAGGCAUCGUUCCAGACAUAGUAACAUAUAGUAUCCUCAUUGAGGGAUUGUGCAACGACAACAAAGUCAGAGAAGCAAAAGAUCUGUUCGACAAGCUUCCAUCCAAAGGUUUGCAGCCUAAUGUCAUAACGUACAAUAUUCUCAUUGGUGCACUUGGCGAAAGAGGGCAGAUAAAGGAGGCUAAAGAUCUGUUCCAUGAGCUUCCAUCCAAAGGUUUGCAGCCUGACAUCAUAACAUAUACUAUUCUCAUUGGUGCACUUUGCAAAGAAGGGCAGAUAGAGGAGGCUAAAGAUCUGUUCCAUAAGCUCCCAUCCAAAGGUUUGCAGCCUGAUGUCAUAACUUAUACAAUCCUUAUCGGUGCACUUUGUGAGGAAGGUCAAAUCGAGGAGGCUAAGGAUUUGAUGAUGCAAAUGGUAAACAAUGGUUGCUUGCCUAAUAGUGUGAUGUACAAUGUUUUUGUUCAAGGUCUUCUCAAAUCGAACAAGGCGCAAGAUGCAAUUCUGUUGUUGGAAGAGAUGGUUUCAAGGGGAUUCACACUUGGUGUCAACACUAUUUCGAUGCUGAUUGAACAUGUGAAAAGGGAAGCUCAGCAUAGAGAAGAAGUAAAGCUCCUCAAUUUGUAAGUCUCAGUCUGUUGGCUUCCUUUUCUGGAACCUCCAAAAUCAUCGGCAAUGGCGGCUUAGCAGAUAAAGAAAAGUUCUUCUGCGAGAGUUUGGUAUAGGAGUGAGGAUUCUUCAGUGGGAGACCUAUCAAGAAUCUGCAAACGUUGAUCUUUCAAGGAAGGUGUGGACUAGUCGAUGCACCAGCUGAAAUUUGGGAGAUGUCACAACUCAGGCACGUCGUGUGCAACAAAAUUCGUCUCCCUGAUCCUCCCCUGAGUGACCAGGAAGAUGACGCUUGUGUCUUGAGGAACUUGCGAACACUUGUGCAAGUAGUGAAUUUCAGAUGGACGGAGGAGGCGUGCAAGAGAAUUCCCAACAUCAAGAAACUGCGCGUGGUUUUUGAUGAUGUCUGGACAGAUUACGAAGAUUGCUUGUGCUUACACUAUCUCCACAAUCUCAGCUCUUUACAAAAGCUCGAAUCACUAAACAUGAGGUUCCCUUUCUGGCAAUGAUUGCCUUUCCCACUUUCCUAGACUCUCUUGUUCUUCCUUUAUUUUCAUUGCCGAAAUUUCAGCAGACUCACUGCAUCUAACCACACUGAUAAUUUCAAGCGUCGGAAUUUCUCCAAUAUCCAAAGGGAUCUCUUCCAUGUGCAUCAAUCCCACAAGCCUAAGCUUCUUCAAAACUGGGAAAUGGGAGCUGUCAGCAUCCCAACAUCUCAGAUCACAUUUGAUAACUGGACUCCAGUUGUGUCCCUUGACGGAAUCUUCUAAAUGGGGCAAAGAACCGAUGAUUGUCAGAUCAUUCCAGACAAGACUGCAGUUUGACAGUAACAGCUUCUUCAGAGAUACCGGAAAUGCACACUUGAGCCGAUCUGCAUUGCAUGAGGAUAGUUUAGGAGUUUAUGUAGGCUGCCACAAACAAUCAUCAUAUCCUUCCAACUCAUCAUCGUAGAUUAGAUGCAAUUUGCUGGUGUUGGGAAUUCUCUUACAUACCAGAGAACGAAGAAGCUGCGCUGACUUCAGCAAUCUCGAUGAAGUCAUGACAUAUGAAGCGACGCUCCUUGGCUGACUUCAGCCCCUCUGUUUUUCACCAUUCAUUAUUUUCGAGCCGAUCUUCCUCUAUUUUACUAAACAAUUUCCAACUUCUAUCCUCAUUUCCCCCCUUUUUAGUUUAAAUCUUUUUUGUUGCAUUUCAAUUAGCCGGGUUAUUGGGUGGCUAUCAUUUUUAUCCAAAUUUCAUUGUUUAAUGAAUUGUAUAUGAGACUAGUUAUCUAAAUUCUUAUAUCAGGAAAUUUGAUAAGAAUUUCAUUAUUCAA